GGAACGCAUUAUCAAAGGAAGGUUUUCCCUCACCUUCUGAUUAUCAGAGCAUUUUGGUUUCCCUAUCAUCGAGGUGUGUAUGGAAGGGGACUGUUUGUGAGCGUCCACAUCUAUUUCGAAUCAAAUAUUACGGGAACCAUGACAAGCCCCUGGGAAGAUUUUUACGUGUCCAUUUAUUUGACCAGAAUUAUCGGUGCCCUUCCUGUGAGA
rnacentral:misc_RNA from 1 species